AACAGAAAUAUAACAACGCAAAAUUUCUUUUUUUAUUUAGAUUUUUGAUUUAUAAUACAUUUUUCAAAUUCAAAAUAGAAAGUACAAUAAAAAAAACUAGACAUUACUAUACAAAACUAAAAGGUAAAAGACGACAUAAAAUGAAAAAACAGACUCAAAACAUAAAAAUAAAAUAAAUUUCCUUCAGCAACUCCUGAAUGAGCAAUCCUGCCUGGAUGGUCCCGAGGUAUCAAUCAUGCUCAAAAUCUGGUAAAUAGACUCACACCUGUAUGAGAAAAUUAAAACUAACACUAUAUGAGACAAUAACAUUCUCCACUAGACACAUGCAAGACAUAGUUGUGAUUUUUUUUUCUAAAAUUAACCCAUGUGGCUAAAAGUAGCUAAAAAGGCAAGAUUUGGCUAAGACCUCGCGAAGCCAAGAAACUAAGAUUCACUAGGAAGACCGUACCCUAUGUGGGCUGCCACGAGAAUUAGGUAUGCGUAGUUCGAGCAGAUUGGAUACGGGCGAGAAUAAAUAACAAGACUAAUUUAGAGAAAACAUAUUUUUUUGUCUUUUGUUUUUUGAAAAAUGAUAAAACAUGUAAACCCUUUUUGGAUUUUCUUUUUCCUCUUUUUUUCUGAUUUGUUUUGAACAAAAUAAUGGGAAAGUGCAAAAUCUUUUUGGAUUUUUCCAUUUUCAUUUUUUGGUCUUUUCUUAAAAAAAUGUGAAAGAAAAACAUAAUUGGACCCUACUUGCUUUAUUUUUAUACUUCAACCUCUUUUUUCUCAUUUACCCUCAAACCUCAUUGGUCCGCCAAAUGACACAUUUACCCUUGAAGAGAUGCAACAUGUAGAACAAAGGAUGCAUCAAAAUGAUCUGUUAUGUUUUGGGUACACCUGUCCUAGACGGACCCAACCCCUGUGUUGAGUCCCCAAAGUCAGAUGCACGUGAUGCAAAAAAAUAUUCCUACUAGGGAUCCGGUAUGAGGCUGAGCUAUUCUAUGUUCAAAACCUAGGUAUGUUGUUCUAGACUUGUGUACCCGAGCGGACAACUCGAGUCGAGGGGGGUGCUACGUACCGGGAACCAAAAGGCCAUCCGGCUUUGUAACUUGUCUGAGCCUCUUCCUAAUUUAAGGUAUGACACUAAUAGAAAAGGAGUCACGCCAGCGUGCACAUCCCCGAAGAUGAGAAAAGAAGGGUUUCGUAGUAGUUUAUAUACAGUUCAGAUAAUAUCAAAGCGGUAAAAAGCGUCAUUUAGCACAUUAGGCCCAAACAUGUAAUAAAACGAGAUAAUAAAUAAAGCCAAAUAUAACAAUUAUUCUAAGCUCGAAUUCUUGAACCCUAAACCAGAGAUUCUGGAUUUAUUUUUCCCCAACAAAGUCGCCAGAGCUGUCACACCUCCUUUUUCACUACCCCGCGGAGGGGAGUAUAAGGAAGUUUUUUCCAAUGUAAGUGACAAUCGAAACGAGAUUAUUUAUUUAAAAUUCAGAGUUGCCACUUGGGAUAAUUUAUGGUGUCCCAAGUCAUCGGUUUAAAUCCCGAAUCGAGGAAAAGAUUGAUUCUGUUUUACAGUCCGCGAACACAGAAAUCCAGGUAAGGAAUUUUGUUAACCCGGGAGAAGGGGUUAGGCAUUUUCGGGUUCCAUGGUUUUAUCACGGUCGCUCAACUGUUAAUAAUGGCUCAUUUAGUUGAUUUUAAAACAUAUUUGAAACCUAUGUGCAUUUCUAUUCCUUUUAAACCGCUUUUAAUAAUCCAAUUAUUAUACUAAUAAUUAUUUGAUUACACGUUACGAAUCAUGUUACGGGAACCGUACCCACGAUCCUCAACAUGUCUAUUCUAUUAACAAAUUUAAAUUGUGGCCGGGUCACAUAAAUGUACCCCCAGAUUUUAGAAAUUAAGCACCACAACUACGUCACGGGAAUCAUACAUGUAGCUAUGACAAUUAUUUAAUUAACGUGCCUAAAGCAAACUACGAAAGUUCAAGGUAUUUUCUACACUAAUUAAAAUAUCUAUGUGAGGGCCAUAGACUAGGUGAUUGGAUGACACAACUCAAUUUUAUUAAAGAGCAUUCAACUAAGUUAACUACGGAUAUUCAUUUUUUAAAACUAAGUUGAAAUUAAGCGUCACAACUACACCACGGGAACCGUACCCAUAGUUGUGGAGAUCUUAUUAUGAGCCUAGAACAAACUAUGAGGAUCGUAGGUUAUUCCCUUACGGGCUUCAUCUAAGAAGAUUUCAAACAGAUACAGACAGAAAUAAACAACUCUACAUAAAACUUUAAGAGUGGGGUGAUUCUUUGUUUGGUCAAAAGGGUGUGAGAUUGACGUGUUCGAAACAAAUUCAUUGCCCCAAAAGGCCAAAACUAAUAAACCAAUGAUUAACGUAAACUAACAAAACAUUCACCAAACUAAACAAGCAGUACAUAUUUGCUUGUGGCAAAAUAAAAAUACAAUGAUUUCAAUUUCAACAAAUUUAAAACAUUUUCAAAAGUUAAUCAUUAAAUGAACUGAAUAAUCAAAUUCAUAUAGCAAAUAAAAGAAGUUCAAUCCACUUUCCACAUAUUAACCAAAUCACAGUUGUUUAUUCAUAUGCUUAAGAAUAUGAUUUGAGAAUAUAGUGGAAGAAACCAAACCUCAUUGCUGCGAAGGAACCAGAUCAAAACAAGAAGACCGACGAACCAUACCCAACUACGACCUCGAAAAUCCGGCAGAAACUUCAACCAAACUCCAGUUUUGUAGUGAGAAUGAACAAAAUUUUCUUUCGAUAAUUUUUAUACGAGAAACUAAAACCAAAAAAUCAAAAAAGAAUUCCUCCAUUUUUUCCAAAAUCGAACUCGCCGGACAGGAGGUGAGCUUUUCGUUGAUGGACUUUUCUCCGACUGGUUCCAGGCCAGCCAGAUGCUAAAAUAGAAAGGGUGCUCAGGCUAUGGUGUGACACUAAGGGUUUUUUUUUUAAAUUGAAGAAAGGAAAUCAAGGACUGAGUCAAAACUCUAGAAAUGAUUUUCAAGAUUUUAUUAGAUCUUCUCUAUGGCAGUGUUCAUCAAAACAUAUUUUCCUUCUCCAUUUUCAUAUCUCUAUCCUCACUGUAUUUUCGUUUCUUUCCCAGCCUAUGUUUCUCUUUUCUUUUGCUAGAGAAAAUUCAAAGGAAGUGGGGGUUGUUUUCUUUCCUGGUAAGAAUGGAAUCGAGAGAUUCAAGAGGGGGGAGGGAGCGAUGGAAUCCGUGAAUCAUGAAGAAGGUUCCUUCAUGGAAAUUGGGAAUUGGUCCUUUGAUGAUGGGAACGGCUCCUCCUUUUUUUAGGUUAAGGGGUAUAGGCCUAGGAAUUAUGGGCUAGGUCCGAAAAUUAGGCUUAAAAUGGUUGUCUUAGCCCAAAUUUUAUACUUUCAUCGUGAACAAGACUAAAA
rnacentral:lncRNA from 1 species